GAGGUCACAUGUACAGGAGGAAGAUACAGCGACCACCAUAUUUAAGAAGAGUGUGUGUGUGUGUGUGUGUGUGUGUGUGUGUGUGUGUGGGGCAACACCCUUAGGGUCAGGGUCCUAGAGUGCUCUCAGAAAGAUAGAAGUACAGGAAUGUGUUUGUGUAUGACUUGGUUUUCUUUGGUUUCUGUUUGCUGAAGGACUUUGCAAAAUUAUGAUGAGAGACUUUGGACGGACUGCACAAAAAUAAGUUAUUUAUUGUCUUGCAAUCUAUUUCAAAUCUUGGGAAACCUGCAACGAACCAAUGAAGCAGUAACUCCCUCCUGGAAAACUCAAGUCACUGUAAGAAAACAGUCCCCCCCUGGCCCCUACCUUAACAGCGAAUUGCCUUUCACAGAUUAAGUGAUCCUUCGGCUUGCAGAUUAGAACCAGGAAUGAUGUCACAUGAAGUCAUUUCUGUCAUUUCAUACAGAUCAGAACUGACAGGAGGUGAUGGAUUCACAAAACUUAAAAAGAAUUAUUCAACAUCUUUAGUGAAUAUUGUUUUUGCUUUCUUGCAGAAUUGGAAAGAUAAAUAUCUUACAUGUUAACUAUUGAGCUUUUCAGGUGCUGGUGGAGAGAUUUAUUUUUACCUUUGGACAGAAGCAGGCCUUUCUGUUUCCAGUGUAGAGCUGCUUUCAGACAUGCACUGAAGUCUGGACAUUUUCACAAAUUUCUGCAAAUGUCGCUCCAGAUGUUUUCCGGAACCUUUCCUUUCAGCCCCCUAGAAACAUUUCCAGAAAAUGUCUGAGUGAGAAUACAGCAGGAAUGUCACAGCGAGUGAGUCUAAGCCAAGCGAACCGUGAUCUGGGUGUUGAACGGUGUGAAGCUUCCUGCUAACCCCAGGCAACAAACAUGUGCUGACCUCCAGGAAGGAGCUGCUGAUGGCUGUCCCUCCUCGUCUCCGGGAGGCGGCGGUUUGGAAUGACAACACACUCCAGACAGACGACUGAGAGACUGAAGCCUCUAAAAAGCUGCCAGAGGGACGGUUUCCUGCAGGAGAUGAAUCGACAAUCCGUAAACAACAGAAGCAUUUCUUACAUAUAAUCUGUAUCAGUACAUACAUGAAGCAACCCACCCUCCAAUAAAAGUGUCAGACCCUGCAAAAAUGCAAGGGGGAUUGAUGAGAUAUAUCCACAAA